CCUACGGGGGGCAGCAGUGAGGAAUAUUGGUCAAUGGGCGGAAGUCUGAACCAGCCAAGUAGCGUGCGGGAUGAAUGCCCUAUGGGUUGUAAACUUCUUUUGUAUGGGGAUAACAUGUUCCACGUGUGGAGGUUUGUAUGUACCGUGUGAAUAAGGAUCGGCUAACUCCGUGCCAGCAGCCGCGAUAAUACGGAGGGGCUGAGCGUUAUCCGGAUUUAUUGGGUUUAAAGGGAGCGUAGGCGGUGUGUUAAGUCAGUUGUGAAAGGUUGGGGCUCAACCGUAAGAUUGCAUUGGAAACUGGCAGUCUUGAGUACAGUAGAGGUGGGCGGAAUUCGUGGUGUAGCGAUGAAAUGCGUAGAUAUUACGAAGAACUCCGAUGGCGAAGGCAGCUUACUGGACUGUAACUGACAUUGAGGCUCGAAAGCGUGGGUAGCAAACAGGAUUAGAUACCCUAGUAGUC
rnacentral:rRNA from 1 species